ensembl:lncRNA
CUGAAAGAAAAAUGGCCACUUGCGCACGGAGAGUGCAAUAAACAUGCGCAAAGGCUGAACAACAACACAACGAACAAAGACACGACACAGACAACAGUUUAGUUUAUGACCGUAAACACUCGGUAAACACUGGAGCGAUCCUAUCUACAGCACUCACUGACACUGAGAAAGUGUCUCAGUGUGCACAGUACUUGUGUAAGAGCGAUAAGGACGGCGGUGUCGGAUUUCAACAAGCUCAGCAGCCAAUGAAGAACAAAGAUCCUAGCACCUGACUGAGUGCACCUGUAUUAACGUGCACACACACACCAGCAGUUUCCAUGAUAACAAGGAACUUGACGUGGGAGUAGUAACAUACCAGCAGAGAGUAGAAAACAGCCCUGAACAGCACAUCACUUAAAUCAUUUGAAGAUGAUGCGAUCGCUGUUCCUGUGUAUGCUGCUGCUGCGAGCUGUGGUCUCUGAAGAGGGAGAAGGCUCGGGCUGUGAUGGUAGAAUCGAUGACGAUGAAGAUGCAGAAUGUGUAACUAAAAGUGUUCAAUCCAAGAAUCAUCAGGAUUCAUUAUUUGUAGAUAAAGCUAAAGGCGAAGAUGAGAGAGAGGAGAAUUAUACCAUGAUUAUCAUAAUUGUGGCUGCAGUCGUGAUGGUUCUGUCAGUGGCUGCUGUAGUCAUUAUACUGUUGGUGAGGCGUCACAUGCAGAGUCGCCAGCCGGGGGUGUACACUGUGCCAACAGAGCAGGACCAGAAAGUGGCCGUCUAAGUCCUGGAGCCGUGGCAGUUGUGUAGCACACAGGCGAGAGAGGAGCAGUACGCUGGGCUUUGUCUGCUCCACUCUUGGUCUCAGGGCAAUUAACUGUCUUUACGCAAAAGCCUGCAUCCAACCGCUCAGUUCACACGGCCUCCUAUCUGAACCUAUUCAUUAUACUUUGUUGUUUUAACUGUUGUGUACUUGCAGUACAGGUUUGUUCUCCACACACACGGUUUACCCUGGGACUCUUGGAACACAUUCAACGUUUCUAAUUAAGUUCUAUUUGAGGAAUAUCCAAAUCAAAGCCAGCGCAUACGACUUAAAGCUUCUUUUGUUAAAAUGGCUAAUUUAGCACAGCCAUGGCUCCUCCCUUUUUAUACCCCAAACCCAGAAAUUAUACCCAGUGCCUUUGCAGUGAAACUGUAUUUGCCUUUGAUUUACUGCCUGUGGAACAGACUUGUCAGUGUGAAAUGGUGAUUGAGUGAGACAAAACCUGCUAAUCCCCACUAAGACAUCCCAGUGCUGUCUUCAUCCUCCCGUUCACUUGUCUGACAUAUUCUGUUUUUGGGCCCGUUAGGAGUGACAGGAGUGCAAUAGAAAGGUAAAAACCUGUCGCCUGCUUCUUAACCUCAGUUAAAGUGCAACAAGUGGAAAUAGCCAGUGUUAACACCUUCCUCGGAGAAGGCAAAUUAAUCUAACGCCAUCAAUGAUGAUGUUUUCCCGCCCCCUUCUCCCCUUGAAGGGCUUUCAGCUCAGUUCCAUUCUCUGUAAAUAGGUCUGUGAGUUGUGUAUAGAUGUAGACAAAUGCCUCAAACACUGGCAUAGAGAAGCUUGGUAGGAGGGGAAAAUCUCACGAAGCAAAUCAAGGACUGGGGCUGAUUGGGAAAAUACAAACAAUGCCUUUGUUUCACUCACACUGAGCAUGAUGGCUUCUCUAGUUUCAUUUAAAUGGAAAUCAAUCAAAGCCCUAUGAAGGAAAGCUUUUUGUUGAA